ACGAAGCACUUUAUUUGAUUUCCUUCGGGACUGAUUAUUUUGUGACUGAGUGGCGGACGGGUGAGUAACGCGUGGGUAACCUGCCUUGUACAGGGGGAUAACAGUUGGAAACGGCUGCUAAUACCGCAUAAGCGCACAGCAUCGCAUGAUGCAGUGUGAAAAACUCCGGUGGUAUAAGAUGGACCCGCGUUGGAUUAGCUAGUUGGUGAGGUAACGGCCCACCAAGGCGACGAUCCAUAGCCGACCUGAGAGGGUGACCGGCCACAUUGGGACUGAGACACGGCCCAAACUCCUACGGGAGGCAGCAGUGGGGAAUAUUGCACAAUGGGCGAAAGCCUGAUGCAGCGACGCCGCGUGAGCGAAGAAGUAUUUCGGUAUGUAAAGCUCUAUCAGCAGGGAAGAUAAUGACGGUACCUGACUAAGAAGCACCGGCUAAAUACGUGCCAGCAGCCGCGGUAAUACGUAUGGUGCAAGCGUUAUCCGGAUUUACUGGGUGUAAAGGGAGCGCAGGCGGUGCGGCAAGUCUGAUGUGAAAAGCCCGGGG
rnacentral:rRNA from 1 species